UACGAAGGGGGCGAGCGUUGUUCGGAUUUACUGGGCGUAAAGGGCGCGCAGGCGGCUCUGCAAGUCAGAUGUGAAAGCCCCGGGCUCAACCUGGGAAUGGCAUUUGAUACUCGAGGGCUUGAGUACGGGAGAGGAGAGUGGAAUUCCCAGUGUAGAGGUGAAAUUCGUAGAUAUUGGGAAGAACACCGGUGGCGAAGGCGGCGACCUGGUCCGUGACUGACGCUGAGGCGCGAAAGCGUGGGGAGCAAACAGG
rnacentral:rRNA from 1 species